rnacentral:rRNA from 1 species
AUGAUGAUAGUACCAAUGUUCAACAUUUGGUACGGCAAACGACGGUCGUUUCACAGACUGGUUGUGGAAAAUGGAUAUAAUUUGCCUGGAUCUUUUUUGGGUGCUAUCAUCACUUUCAGCCACCUACUCAAGGCCAUCUGUGCGGAGAACAAGACCAGCUAUGCAAUGGACAUGGCACUUCGGAUAAUGCCCAAGUUUAACUGCAUACCGGAUGUUUUCUCCUACAACAUUCUUUUCAAGGGUCUAUGCACCGAGAAAAGAAGCCAAGAGGCUCUAGAGCUGAUUCACGUCAUGGCUGAGGAUGGAGGUAGCUGCCAACCUAAUGUGGUGUCCUAUAGCACCGUAGUUGAUGGCUUGUUGAAAGAGGGUGAGGUGGACAAAGCUUACAGCCUAUUUUGUCAAAUGCUAAAGAGGCGAAUUUCGCCGAAUGUUGUGACCUGUAGUUCAAUCAUCUCUGUCAUGUGCAAGGUUCAUGCGAUGGACAAGGCUGAGCAGGUUCUUCAACAGAUGUUUGAUACAAGAAUUCUGCCAAAUGUUGCUACAUAUACUAGUCUGAUACAAGGAUACUAUUCAUUAGGACACUGCGAAGAGGUGGAUUGGAUUUUCAAGAAAAUGUCUAGAAAUGGUGUUCAACCAAAUAUUGUAGCUUACAAACAUACGGAUGGAUUAUCUUUGCAAGAGCGGAAGAUGCGCAUAAGCUAG